GGACCCGCACAAGUAGUGGAGCAUGUGGUUUAAUUCGAAGAUACGCGCAGAACCUUACCAACACUUGACAUGUUCGUCGCGACUUUAAGAGAUUAAAGUUUUCGGUUCGGCCGGACGAAACACAGGUGCUGCAUGGCUGUCGUCAGCUCGUGUCGUGAGAUGUUGGGUUAAGUCCCGCAACGAGCGCAACCCUCACUUUUAGUUGCCAUCAUUUAGUUGGGCACUCUGAAAGAACUGCCAGUGAUAAGCUGGAGGAAGGUGGGGAUGACGUCAAGUCCUCAUGGCCCUUACGUGUUGGGCUACACACGUGCUACAAUGGUAUCUACAACAGGAAGCAAAACUGCGAAGUUAAGCAAAUCCUUAAAAGAUACCUCAGUUCGGAUUGUCGUCUGCAACUCGACGGCAUGAAGUCGGAAUCGCUAGUAA
rnacentral:rRNA from 1 species